rnacentral:lncRNA from 1 species
GAGGACAUGGGGGAUGAUAUGGAUGUAGAGCAGAGGAGGGAUGGCAGUUUGGGAGUUAGUAUGUCAGAAGAAGGAAUGGGAGAAUCCCAAGGAGGCACUCAGGCCUCGGGAUUUGUUCAGCCACCUUACUACCCACCCUUCUCAUAAAACCCUGGGUAUUCGAUGGGAGGUACAUCGGACUACCACGGCUUUAGCCCUUAUCCCACACAGAUGCCAUACCCACCCUACUACCCACCAUAUUCACAGUACCCAAUGUAUCCACCUCCACCUUACUAUCCAAAUCCAGCAAACCCUACCCCAGGGGAUGCUGCACCUCCUCCUCCUCCAGCA